CCUGCUAUAAAACACUACCUGUCCAGAUACCUGCUAUAUAACACUCCUCAAACACUACCUGUCCAGGUACCUGAUCUAUAACACUCCUCAAACACUACCUGUCUAGGUACCUGCUAUAUAACACUCCUCAAACACUACCUGUCCAGGUACCUGCUAUAUAACACUCCUCAAACACUACCUGUCUAGGUAUCUUCUAUAUAACACUCCUCAAACACUACCUGUCCAGGUACCUGCUUUAUAACACUCCGUGUCACGUAGAGUAGGCCAGAAGGCUAAACUGGAUAACCUAACCUCUAUCAAAAUAAAAAGAUGGCGGAGCCGCAAAAGUUCUUCUGUGCAAAGGUGUUUAUUUACAAGUGAUUCCGGAACAAAAAACAACAGUACUGCCAUAAACGUCUACCUUAUGGGACAGCUUAAAAACAAUGCUGCCCCAUCCACAGCUCGAUCCAAAAUGCCUCUCCAUGAACUGAAAGAGAGGCUCCUUUUGUAGGGCUAGCCCCUCCCCUCAGAACAAUUAACCCUAAUGAAUUAAGCAAUUAACAAUACAAACCUACAUUUUCCAUUAACUAAACAUACUAAAGGAAAUACAUUGCAACACGGUUUUAAACAAUAUCACAACAUAACAUUUACAACAUUACAUCACUACUGACAAUAUCUUUCAAUAUGCCCAUAUGCAUUAAUGAGCCAUUUGGGACAGGCACUAUAAAGCCAGCCCAAUUCCCUUAGCUCGGGUCCUUUUCCAGCAUACCCAGAAGCUACAGAGAUGGAGAGAGAGAGGAACAGAACAAACAAACAAAGUGCUCAUCCACAACAUUGAUAAGUAUAAUUUAUAUUGGAUAUCUCAAAUAUGAACACCGACAUAAGCGUGAAAUGUAUGCACCAAGACAGAAGUUAAUUUGUGUGUCGACCCACAUUGUUAACCCAUCCUACAAUGGUGCAGGGAGGAGUGAUGAAUGCGUGUGUACGUCGAAGAACCAAAUGCUGCCCGCGGCCAGUGACGGACCUUUACGUCACACUCCUCAAACACUACUUGUCCAGUGAGGAUUUUAAGCUGGACAUAAAACGAUCUCGCCGUAGAUUUAAGAGAGUCAUCCAGUCCAAAGGCAUCAAGUUUAGGUUGUUCAAAAGGGUCUCUGUCUCUCUCUCUCUGCAGUGGGCUGUUUAAGACUGAUAAAGGGAUUGGCAGUGCUGGUAUGAAGCUGGACUCUCUGGAAAUGCAGUUUGAGACCAAACAGCUAAUAAAGAGACUGCCUCCUACCAGUGCCUGCAGGGCAGAGCGUCUCAACUGCUAUCUACUCGGCCCUCUUCGGCCCCGGGCAUGACCAGGCACGGG